CUACGGGCGGCUCCAGUGGGGAAUAUUGCACAAUGGGCGCAAGCCUGAUGCAGCCAUGCCGCGUGUAUGAAGAAGGCCUUCGGGUUGUAAAGUACUUUCAGCGGGGAGGAAGGGAGUAAAGUUAAUACCUUUGCUCAUUGACGUUACCCGCAGAAGAAGCACCGGCUAACUCCGUGCUAGCAGCCGCGGUAAUACGGAGGGUGCAAGCGUUAAUCGGAAUUACUGGGCGUAAAGCGCACGCAGGCGAUUUGUUAAGUCAGAUGUGAAAUCCCCGGGCUCAACCUGGGAACUGCAUCUGAUACUGGCAAGCUUGAGUCGCGUAGAGGGGGGUAGAAUUCCAGGUGUAGCGGUGAAAUGCGUAGAGAUCUGGGGGAAUACCGGUGGCGAAGGCGGCCCCCUGGACGAAGACUGACGCUCAGGUGCGAAAGCGUGGGGAGCAAAUAGGAUUAGAUACCCCUGUAGUC
rnacentral:rRNA from 1 species